ACUGGGUGCAGUGGCAUGUGCCUGUAGUCCCAGCUACUUGGGAGGCUGAGGUGGGAGGAUUGCUUGAGCCCAGGAGUUCUGGGCUGUAGUGUGCCAUGCCAAUCAGGUGUCUGCACUAAGUUGGGCAUCAGUAUGGUGACCUCCCGGCAGCAGGGGACCACCAGUUUGCCUAAGGAGGGGUGAACUGGCCCAGGUCAGAAACGGAGCAGGUCAAAACUCCCGUGCUGAUCAGUAGUGGGAUUGCGCCUGUGAAUAGCCACUGCAGUCCAGCCUGGGCAACAUAGCAAGACCCCGUCUCU
rnacentral:SRP_RNA from 1 species